rnacentral:rRNA from 1 species
GACGAACCGUGCGAACGUUAUUCGGAAUCACUGGGCUUAAAGCGCGUGUAGGCGGAUGAGCACGUCUGUCGCUGAAAUCCCCCGGCUCAACCGGGGAACGGGCGCGGAUACGGCUCGUCUCGAGGGGCGUAGGGGGACCUGGAACUUCCGGUGGAGCGGUGAAAUGCGUUGAGAUCGGAAGGAACGCCCGUGGCGAAAGCGGCGUGCUGGACCUCUUCUGACGCUGAGGCGCGAAAGCCAGGGGAGCAAACGGG